ACCCAGCUCAGUUGGUAGAGCAUGAGACCUUUAAUCUCAGGGCUGUGUGUUCGAGCCCCACAUUGGGCA
rnacentral:tRNA from 1 species